ACACGACUCUGGAGAGUCCCUUAAAAGGGCGCCGAAGGUGCACGGAUACUAUUAUUCCUUAUCUCUCAGGCAAAAGGACAGAGGCU
rnacentral:ncRNA from 1 species